rnacentral:rRNA from 1 species
GACGAACGCUGGCGGCGUGCUUAACACAUGCAAGUCGAACGGAAAGGCCCUGCUUUUGUGGGGUGCUCGAGUGGCGAACGGGUGAGUAACACGUGAGUAACCUGCCCUUGACUUUGGGAUAACUUCAGGAAACUGGGGCUAAUACCGUAUAGGAGCUCCUGCUGCAUGGUGGGGGUUGGAAAGUUUCGGCGGUCGGGGAUGGACUCGCGGCUUAUCAGCUUGCUGGUGGGGUAGUGGCUUACCAAGGCUUUGACGGGUAGCCGGCCUGAGAGGGUGACCGGGCACAUUGGGACUGAGAGACGGACCAGACUCCUACGGGAGGCAGCAGUGGGGAAUAUUGCACAGUGGGCGGAAGCCUGAUGCAGCAACGCCGCGUGCGGGAUGACGGCCUUCGGGUUGUAAACCGCUUUAGCCUGUGACGAAGCGUGAGUGACGGUAAUGGGUAAAGAAGCACCGGCUAACUACGUG